ACAACGUGGAUACCCCCGAGAUGUCACUCUCCUCGGGCUCUAUCCAGGUGGCUCAGGGGAGCAUAGGGCUCUGCCCUGUGAUGUACGAUCCCAUUCCACACGUUGGAGAGGAAGCCGGGCCUUGAGCUUGCACCUGCAUAUUCCUACAGCUUCUCAGAGUCCUAUGGACAAUGACUGAGGAGACAAACCAUGCAGGAAACAGCU
rnacentral:snoRNA from 1 species